UUUCAGAAGUGCGAAUGCUGACAUAAGUAACGAUAAAGCGGGUGAAAAGCCCGCUCGCCGGAAGACCAAGGGUUCCUGUCCAACGUUAAUCGGGGCAGGGUGAGUCGACCCCUAAGGCGAGGCCGAAAGGCGUAGUCGAUGGGAAACAGGUUAAUAUUCCUGUACUUGGUGUUACUGCGAAGGGGGGACGGAGAAGGCUAUGUUGGCCGGGCGACGGUUGUCCCGGUUUAAGCGUGUAGGCUGGUUUUCCAGGCAAAUCCGGAAAAUCAAGGCUGAGGCGUGAUGACGAGGCACUACGGUGCUGAAGCAACAAAUGCCCUGCUUCCAGGAAAAGCCUCUAAGCAUCAGGUAACAUCAAAUCGUACCCCAAACCGACACAGGUGGUCAGGUAGAGAAUACCAAGGCGCUUGAGAGAACUCGGGUGAAGGAACUAGGCAAAAUGGUGCCGUAACUUCGGGAGAAGGCACGCUGAUAUGUAGGUGAAGCGACUUGCUCGUGGAGCUGAAAUCAGUCGAAGAUACCAGCUGGCUGCAACUGUUUAUUAAAAACACAGCACUGUGCAAACACGAAAGUGGACGUAUACGGUGUGACGCCCCCCGGUGCCGGAAGGUUAAUUGAUGGGGUUAGCGCGAGCGAAGCUCUUGAUCGAAGCCCCGGUAAACGGCGGCCGUAACUAUAACGGUCCUAAGGUAGCGAAAUUCCUUGUCGGGUAAGUUCCGACCUGCACGAAUGGCGUAAUGAUGGCCAGGCUGUCUCCACCCGAGACUCAGUGAAAUUGAACUCGCUGUGAAGAUGCAGUGUACCCGCGGCAAGACGGAAAGACCCCGUGAACCUUUACUAUAGCUUGACACUGAACAUUGAGCCUUGAUGUGUAGGAUAGGUGGGAGGCUUUGAAGUGUGGACGCCAGUCUGCAUGGAGCCGACCUUGAAAUACCACCCUUUAAUGUUUGAUGUUCUAACGUUGACCCGUAAUCCGGGUUGCGGACAGUGUCUGGUGGGUAGUUUGACUGGGGCGGUCUCCUCCUAAAGAGUAACGGAGGAGCACGAAGGUUGGCUAAUCCUGGUCGGACAUCAGGAGGUUAGUGCAAUGGCAUAAGCCAGCUUGACUGCGAGCGUGACGGCGCGAGCAGGUGCGAAAGCAGGUCAUAGUGAUCCGGUGGUUCUGAAUGGAAGGGCCAUCGCUCAACGGAUAAAAGGUACUCCGGGGAUAACAGGCUGAUACCGCCCAAGAGUUCAUAUCGACGGCGGUGUUUGGCACCUCGAUGUCGGCUCAUCACAUCCUGGGGCUGAAGUAGGUCCCAAGGGUAUGGCUGUUCGCCAUUUAAAGUGGUACGCGAGCUGGGUUUAGAACGUCGUGAGACAGUUCGGUCCCUAUCUGCCGUGGGCGCUGGAGAACUGAGGGGGGCUGCUCCUAGUACGAGAGGACCGGAGUGGACGCAUCACUGGUGUUCGGGUUGUCAUGCCAAUGGCACUGCCCGGUAGCUAAAUGCGGAAGAGAUAAGUGCUGAAAGCAUCUAAGCACGAAACUUGCCCCGAGAUGAGUUCUCCCUGACUCCUUGAGAGUCCUGAAGGAACGUUGAAGACGACGACGUUGAUAGGCCGGGUGUGUAAGCGCAGCGAUGCGUUGAGCUAACCGGUACUAAUGAACCGUGAGGCUUAACC
rnacentral:rRNA from 1 species